GAUCCUGGCUCAGGAUGAACGCUGGCGGCGUGCUUAACACAUGCAAGUCGAGCGAAGCAGUUAAGUUGAUUUCUUCGGAUUGAUUCUUGACUGACUGAGCGGCGGACGGGUGAAGGUAACGCGUGGGUGACCUGCCCCAUACCGGGGGGAUAACAGCUGGAAACGGCUGCUAAUACCGCAUAAGCGCACGAAGCUGCAUGGCUUUGUGUGAAAAACUCCGGUGGUAUGGGAUGGGCCCGCG
rnacentral:rRNA from 1 species